ensembl:lncRNA
GGCUCGGGCCGCCCGUCCCCGCGGACGCCGCGGCAGCUCCUCGUCCCCCUGCGUUUCUUCCGACAGUUUUACACCACCACCACCACCACUAUCUGUGUGGGUUGGGGAGAGAAUUUUUUUUUUUCCUCCUCUUUCCCUAAAGCGAAGCGUGAUGGCAGCGGGACACGCGCGCACACAUUCCCGAGCCGCACACGCACACGCGCUCCGACCCUCCUUUCCCACCCCUUUUCCUUACAUCCCGGCGGCGAGGGUUUCUCUGGGAGGAAUUCACUCUCCGCCACGAAUCGGGAGACGCUGGGCUCCCGAGGAGCGCACCUCGGGCACUUUCCCCAUUUCCCACGCAGUCACAGGUGGAGGGGAGCACACCUCACUGGCACGCAGAGCACAAACUGACAGCACCCCGUCUGCUGAGGAUGCCAGUAAGGUGCCGCCUGGACAUCCACACAGCUCUGGGGUCGUCGUCGUUAUUUACAAAAACAAAAUAAAUGGAAGGAAGAUGGGCAAAAUCUGCUGUUGCUGGGGAGGCUGUUUCAAAAAGAGCUGGCAUGUGUUCCCUACCGAAUCCAGUCCAAGGAUUGUUUGUGUCUUUAGAAAGCAAGUGCCAUCGCUGCUUGAUGCAAUGAGCUGAGCUCUGGGAACCAGCACUCGUUAGCACCAGUUUCACUGAAAAAGACAGAAAGAAAGAAGAAGGACAACUAGGAUGAGAGAGAUUUUCCUCCAAAAAAAAAAAAAAAAAGUACUUUUAAAAGAAGCCCCAUUAUGUAAAAGCACAGCAUUGUCUCAGUGUCUCUAUCCAGAGCUUCAUGCACAGCUCAUUUGGCAUGGGAAGGGGAAGAAAGAACCCCUCCUCCAAACAUAGUCCGUGGAACAUAAACAUCCCAUACAUCCCAUAACACAGGAGCCAUAGAGCUCUCCUCUGCUUUCAAAUGCAAGUUUGUAACUUUCAGCCAAUUUCUACUCUUUGCUUUCUCAGAUGAUUUUAAGAUUUAAACCUUGGGAGUAUCUAAAAUAACAAAGGCCUCGAAGCUCUCAACGUGGCAAUGAAAUCUUCAUCUUGAACUCAUGGCAGAGAUGUUCCAGGCCGACUCUUAUGAAUCAUGAAAAUCUUAAUCUGAACAUCAGAAAGGAGAGGCACCUUCUCUGUUACUCUUCUUUAUUCCUUUAUGCUUUUCCCACUUCAUUUUAUUUAAAUAGGGUUACAUUCAUAGUAAUAUAGUCACGGUGGUGGCUGUUGUUUUCAUUGUUGCUAUUAUUAUUAUUAUUAUUGUUGUUGUUAUUAUUAUUUUAACUCAG